UACAGAGGGGGCAAGCGUUAUUCGGAAUUAUUGGGCGUAAAGGGCGCGUAGGCGGCCUUCUAAGUCGGACGUGAAAUCCCUCGGCUUAACCGAGGAACUGCGUCCGAUACUGAAAGGCUUGAAUCCGGGAGAGGGAUGUGGAAUUCCAGGUGUAGCGGCGAAAUGCGUAGAUAUCUGGAGGAACACCGGUGGCGAAGGCGGCAUCCUGGACCGGCAUUGACGCUGAGGCGCGAAAGCUAGGGGAGCAAACGGG
rnacentral:rRNA from 1 species